rnacentral:lncRNA from 1 species
AAAAAUAUUAGAUGGAAUUGGAUGUUUCUGUUUUUAAUCUCUAACUUCAAUUUGAUUUGAUGCUACCAUUUUCAUAUUGGAUCAAAUAUGUUACUUUUUUUUUUUCAAUUGCCAGCACAACCUACUGACAAAUGAAUAACCCAAACCUAGAAAACCCACUAACACACUACAACAAUUACAACCACCCUAAUCCACUAACAAAGAAGCAAACCAGAAAACAAAACUCAACAUAGUAGCAGCCAACAGGAAGUAGAUGAAGAAGAUGCAAAACAAUGCGGGAGCAUAUCUAUCACGGAGAAGCAUCGAUGAGGGAGGAAAAUCCAAGAUUGCAUUGGAGAAGAUGAAGGCAAUAAACGACUUGCCACCGCCACCUACCUCAACUCCCACCACACAACCUUCCUCGUCCUCCUUAAAGUUUCCUACACUAAAGCAGAUACAGAUGAGUACACAAAAGCAGAUUGCAAAAUAGAGUAGAAGUAGAUAGGUUAAAAGGAAGUGUCGGAUACGGAAGAGAUAUUGGAUGAGAAGGGUUCUACGAGUCAGCUUGGGGGGAAAGAAGAAUGUGAUGACUGGUGAGUAGUAACAUAAUGGAGGCGUUGAGACAAACUAGAGUUUGAGGAGAGAAAAGCUAAAAAAAGGAGGUUGAGGCAUAAUGAUGGCGCCAUUGGUCAUCGACCGUGAUGGCUGAGCCGAAUAUGAAAAGCCAACAAGGAGAGAAAAG